rnacentral:misc_RNA from 1 species
UAUUGAUUCCUCAGCUCUGAUAUGAUGAGCCGAAGGCUGAUAUAUUCUUUCUCAUCAAUCUCUGUCACGGUGCGGCGAUAGUCCUCCACAUGGGGAUAUUUAGCUAUUUUAGAAACCAAUUUGGCUCUUGUAAUAUAAUAUCUAGAAAUCUGGUCCAGAUAAGAUGCAGCUUCACUCUCAACAGUUCUUAGCUCUGCAACUG